rnacentral:rRNA from 1 species
GCGUAAGAGCUCGUAGGCGGUUUGUCGCGUCUGCCGUGAAAGUCCGGGGCUCAACUCCGGAUCUGCGGUGGGUACGGGCAGACUAGAGUGAUGUAGGGGAGACUGGAAUUCCUGGUGUAGCGGUGAAAUGCGCAGAUAUCAGGAGGAACACCGAUGGCGAAGGCAGGUCUCUGGGCAUUAACUGACGCUGAGGAGCGAAAGCAUGGGGAGCGAACAGGAUUAGAUACCCUGGUAGUCCAUGCCGUAAACGUUGGGCACUAGGUGUGGGGGACAUUCCACGUUUUCCGCGCCGUAGCUAACGCAUUAAGUGCCCCGCCUGGGGAGUACGGCCGCAAGGCUAAAACUCAAAGGAAUUGACGGGGGCCCGCACAAGCGGCGGAGCAUGCGGAUUAAUUCGAUGCAACGCGAAGAACCUUACCAAGGCUUGACAUGGACCGGACCGCCGCAGAAAUGUGGUUUCCCCUUUGGGGCUGGUUUACAGGUGGUGCAUGGUUGUCGUCAGCUCGUGUCGUGAGAUGUUGGGUUAAGUCCCGCAACGAGCGCAACCCUCGUUCUAUGUUGCCAGCACGUGAUGGUGGGGACUCAUAGGAGACUGCCGGGGUCAACUCGGAGGAAGGUGGGGACGACGUCAAAUCAUCAUGCCCCUUAUGU